UACGUAGGGGGCGAGCGUUGUCCGAAUUCACUGGGCGUAAAGCGCGCGUAGGCGGGCAAUUAAGUUGGUGGUGAAAUCCCGGGGCUCAACCUCGGAACUGCCUCCAAAACUGGUAGCCUUGAGUUAUGGAGAGGGAAGUGGAAUUCCAGGUGUAGCGGUGAAAUGCGUAGAUAUCUGGAGGAACACCUGUGGCGAAGGCGGCAUCCUGGACCGGCAUUGACGCUGAGGCGCGAAAGCCAGGGGAGCAAAC
rnacentral:rRNA from 1 species